rnacentral:rRNA from 1 species
AUAAAUGUAAAUUUCUCUCUUACAUUAGUAUUAGAUAUGUUCUUGAAAAUUAAAGGUUUUGACGGUAUUUUAGUCUAUUUAGAGGAACCUGUUCUAUAAUCGAUAAUCCACGAUUUAUUAAACUUUUUUUUUAACUUACAUAUCGUCGUAAUUUGAAUAUUUUAAAAGAAUUAUAAUAUUCAAGAUUUAAUUAAUAAAAAAAAUCAGAUCAAGGUGUAGUUUAUGAAAAAGAAGAAAUGGGUUACAUUAUUAAUAUAUCAUAGGGAUAAUUAUUUGAAAUAAUAAUUUAAAUAUGGAUUUAAAAGUAAUUUUAAUUAAUUUAUUAAUUUGAUUUAAGCUCUGAAAUAUGU